UAUAUAAGCACUUAUGCACAAACAUAUAUGAAGGAAUUGGUUAUUUGAUUUAAAGUUAUUUGAUUCAAAGUUAUCACAACAACGUACAAUAUCUUAUGCAUAAGAUACAACAACCAAGGUCUACAUAUUUUACGUAUAUAUACAUGAUAUCACGGUUUAGGGUUUUGACGUAAUAGCAUUUUCAUCUAUAUAUUUUCUCUCUACCUCCCACCGCCUCUCCCCCCCUCUCUCUCUCUCUAGAAUUCUCACCAUGCCUCACAGAAGCUCGGCUGUAAGUUUUCCUUCUGAUUUUUAUAGCCUUAAAUUUAUGAGUUAAAUUGAAUUUGGUAAAGGCUUUAAGCAAUCUGGUCCAACCCCUUCAACCAAUCAGAUUCGUGCGUCCAAUUCUCUCUCUUCUCGUCAAAGAUGCAGCGAGCGAAUGUUAGCGACCCCCUAGCGAGCGCUAGGGGGCGGUGCUCAAGUCUUCCUAGCGUGCUUAGCGAGUGGGGUAACGACUCCCACUCCUUUCAGUCUUAGUAAAUCUUAGGAACGAAAAGUGGCAAACUCUUGAAACAUUUGUAGCUAGCAAUAGAGAAUAUCGAAGCUAGUGGCAAAACUUAAGGUGUUACAUUUAGUAAAUCUUAGGGACGAAAAGUAGUAGACUCUUGAAACUUUUGUAGAUAGCAAUAAAGAAUAUCGAAGCUAGGGGACUAAAAGUGUGAACUCCACGAACUAAUGUGGUAAAAAAAUUAAGGAUGAAUCAAAAAUGAUAAAGUGCUUCCUAGCGUGCUUAGCGAGUGGGGUAACGACUCCCACUCCUUUCAGUCUUAGUAAAUCUUAGGAACGAAAAGUGGCAAACUCUUGAAACAUUUGUAGCUAGCAAUAGAGAAUAUCGAAGCUAGUGGCAAAACUUAAGGUGUUACAUUUAGUAAAUCUUAGGGACGAAAAGUAGUAGACUCUUGAAACUUUUGUAGAUAGCAAUAAAGAAUAUCGAAGCUAGGGGACUAAAAGUGUGAACUCCACGAACUAAUGUGGUAAAAAAAUUAAGGAUGAAUCAAAAAUGAUAAAGUGUUAAGCUUCGUUUGGUUAUGGAAAACUGUUUUUAUUUUCUAUGAAAAUAUUUUCAGAAAAUAGAGUUGAGUUUUCAUUUUCAAUUUUCAAUGAAAAAACGUUUGGUUGGAAUGGGUAGAGUUUUCAUUUUCCAUCUUAGAAAUUUGAAAAACUGUAAAAAUCACUUUUCUAAUUUACAUACAAUUUGGAAAACUGAAAAUUUUCAUUUUCUUAGAAAACUUUGGAAUACUGAACAAACCAAACGUUUUUUCAAAAUUUUCGUUUUUCUUGGAAAUUUUUCCUAGAAAACUGGAAAAUUUUCCACAACAAAAUGCACUUCAUUUUCUAAGAAAAUGUUUUCAGAAAAUAGAGUUGAGUUUUCAUUUUCAAUUUUCAGUGAAAAUUUUAGAAAACGCGUUUGGUUGAAACCGGGAGAGUUUUUAUUUUUCAUUUUAGAAUUUUGGAAAACUGUAAAAAUCAUUUUUCCAAUUUACAUAAAACUUAGAAAACUGGAAAUUUUCAUUUUCUUGGAAAAUUUUGGAAAACUGAACGAACCAAACGCGUUUUCAAAAUUUCCGUUUUUCUUGGAAAAUUUUCCUAGAAAACUAAAAGAAAUUCUACAAGCACCCUAAAGGUGCGUUUGGUUGUGGAAAAUUUUCCAGUUUUCUAGGAAAAUUUUUCAAGAAAAACGGAAAUUUUGAAAACGUGUUUGGUUCAUUCAUUUUUCCAAAAUUUUCCAAAAAAAUGAAAAUUUUCAGUUUUCCAAAUUGUAUGUAAAUUAGAAAAGUGAUUUUUACAGUUUUCCAAAGUUUUCCAAAUUUUUAAGAUGGAAAAUGAAAACUCCCCCGGUUUCAACCAAACGCGUUUUCUAAAAUUUUCAUUGAAAUUUGAAAACGAAAACUCAACUCUAUUUUCUAAAAACAUUUUCUUAGAAAAUGAAAACAGUUUUUCACAACCAAACGCACCCUAAGCUUUUGUGGCAAAACUUUGAAAAUUUUGGGAAAUGACCAAAAAUGACAAAGUGUUAAUUCUAUACAAAACUUUGAAGAAUAGAAACUAUACUAUUUAGGGUUAUGUGAUUUAAUUGUAUAUAUAAUACGUAUUUAAGUCCAGUUAUUCGUUCUUUUGUUUCAAAUUUUAUCAAGUUCUAAUAUUAAAAAGAAACUUUAAGCCUAAAAAACGUCGAUUUGAAUUUUCAUCUGAUGUAAUUGAAGUGGUUUUUCAUUUUGUUAUUCAAACUUAAACAUGACUAGAAUGUGUUCUAGUCAAGUUUUAUAAAUUUUUUCUUUACUUAUCAUUGUUUACAAUUAAUACUACUUUUGAGACUUUAAAGCUGUUGAAUCUUUUUUCUAGUCAGAGCUUGACUUGAGCUUAUAUCAUGAAAGCCCGCCAAUAGCUUCUUCCUCUCAUCAUCCAUUCUUGCUCUCUCCACAUACCUUUUAAACUUCGCAACAUCCAACCUAGCCAUCGCCAUAAGAAAUUGAUCUCGGUAAAUACGAUGGUGGUUCGGCUUAGGGAAGAGCAUUUGGAUUGGGGAACCGACCGAAACCGGAUAGAACCGAUCGGGCUGGGACCAGGACGAUAUUCUUAUGGAUUUUUGGAACCGAGAACCGGUAGGAACCGGUCAUUGGACCCGGCCCAAAACCAGGAACCGAACCGGACCGGCUUUUUUUUCUGUUUGAGUAAUAAAUCGCAAUCUAACUUUUUUUUAAAUGUUUAUAUCUCACGAAUUUGAAGUGACAUUGAUAUUAUUAUUUUUCCUUCAUUUUAUUUAGGUUUUGUAGAUAAUUUUAGACUAUAAAAACUCUUGAUUUGGUUAAAAAUUGAAUGAGUUACAA